UGGUGUGGGAUAUUAGACAUUCGAGACUUUCUCACACAACCAGCAAUUCUGCGACAGGAAGUCGCAGAAAGACACCACCGCCAUGGAGGGCGGAUUGGUGUCGUUUGCGUCCGUUCCCAAUUCCAUUCCAGAGAAAGUCCGAAAAUCUUAUAUCCCAUCACC
rfam:Roseburia sp. 40_7 Ley3_66761_scaffold_3429, whole genome shotgun sequence.